GACUAGAUGGCUCCAAGAAGGAACCCUUCCUCCCUUCCUCUGGCUCCAGGAGUGGCUGCAGGGCUCUAGCCACAUCUGGCCACUUGAUGCCACGGCUGACCAGACAUGCUCAGUAAGGGGCCGCAGUCCGACACAGCUCCCGGGGUGUGUGCUAGAUGUGCCUCUCCAGCUUGUGACACAGUCCCUUAGCUCACACAGCCAGCUAGAAGUAAGGAAGGACAAUGAAGCUGAGAAUAAAGGACAGUGGCAAUAAUAGAUACAACAAUGGGAGAAACAAGAGAGGCCAGGAUGGAGAAGAAAGAAAGAACUAUCAAACAAAAAGGGGAAAACGAAUAGGAAAGAAGUGGGGAUUGGACUGACAGAAUGAAACCAGGAAAACUGCUGCAGAGUGAGAGUCUUCUAAAUGGAUUAAGAAGCCUAUCUCAAUCCCUCUGGAGAGUCCUCUUCAAUUCACAAUGAAGAUGUUGAAGAGCAGGGACAGACAUCAACACUCCUCUCCCCACCUUCCCCACUGGCAGAGGCAUUCAGGUCACUACUAGUGUCUCUCUUUCUCUUUUCCCCUUCUCUUAAUCUCUCACUGCCCUUCUCUCCAUGUCAUAUUCUCUUUUUCUCCUUCCCUCUCUUCCUUCUUACCUACUAAACUCCAUAUGUACCAAAAUCAGUCAAAGCUCUACUAUCUAGCUCUCUUUAUCUAGACUAAAGGAGUUGUCCACCUCUUGGUCUAGAUAACACUUGCAAAUAAAGACCUGCUCGUUUCCCAAAGCUAAGUAAUUGUUUUAGUUGAGCAACUGGGAAAGGAGGAUGGUUUUGUGUUGUACUCUGAUGCUAUUAUCCUUGGAUGGAGCGGGGAAGAUGUUGCUAUUGUCUGCAAGCUUAGCCCAUCAGCCCUGCAAUGUUUCCAUCAUGGAGCUCAACUGAGCAACUAUUGCACUCUCUGCAGCUGAGCCUCCCUUUUGACAUUAUAACAGAUUUUAAACACUGUGAAGACAUGAGAGAUUCUAGGGUGGAAGAAGCUAGGUGUCCCUGUUUACAUAGGCCCCACUAGAUCCCAAAGCUCUGCAGCUCAGGUCUCAGAAUUCCCCUUUGUCUUCAGUCUGAGAGUUACCUACGAGAGCAAGGUUACUCAGCAGAAGCUUUGCCCUGAGCUACAUUUUUGGGCCUCUGCCUGCAGGUGGCAUCAACUUGAAAGGACUUGUUGAGGAUUACCUUGAUAUCUCCAAAGAGGCUCUCAUCCACCUCAGAGCUCACGGCUUUGGUCCGAUAGCGAGCCUUAUUCCUUGACCUGUUGGAAGCGGCAGAAGAGGAGCUCAGGAUGCCAGCUGUGCUUAGUGGCUGCAGGAAGAGGCAGAAAGUUUGGGUCAUCAGUACUGAGUGGCAUCCAGACCCUGGGAAGUCAACAAUUCACCAGCCCAUGCUGGGGGAGUGGGUGGGCAUGUGAAAAAGAAACAGUUAGGGAAAGCGGCUGUGUAAACUCUGAACCAUAGGGGACAAGGAGCAACAGAUGGAGGGCAUCCCCACAGAGCAGGGAAGGGUCUCUGCAAAAAAAAGAGCUCUGCAUAAAGCAGCAUUUGUGUAAAACAGUUGAUCUCAUAGAAGUACAGAGUAGAAUGGUGGUUACCAGAGGCUGAAGAGAGGAAGGGGAGGGGCAUGGGGAGAGGUUGGUCAGUGAGUGCGCAGUUACAGUUAGAUAGGAGGAAUAAGUUCUGGUGCUCUAUUGCACAGAAAGGCCACUAUAGUUAAUAAUAAUGUACUGUAUAUCUCAAAAGAGAUACACAAUAUCUAGGAGAGGAUUUUGAGAAAUAUAAAUGUUAUAAGAUUAAAUGAGAUGGCAAGGUCUAGUAUUU
rnacentral:lncRNA from 1 species